rnacentral:rRNA from 1 species
AUUGAACGCUGGCGGCAUGCUUUACACAUGCAAGUCGAACGGUAACAGGUUAAGCUGACGAGUGGCGAACGGGUGAGUAAUGCAUCGGAACGUGCCCGGCCGUGGGGGAUAACGCAGCGAAAGCUGCGCUAAUACCGCAUACGAUCUGAGGAUGAAAGCGGGGGACCGUAAGGCCUCGCGCGAUCGGAGCGGCCGAUGUCAGAUUAGGUAGUUGGUGGGGUAAAGGCUCACCAAGCCGACGAUCUGUAGCUGGUCUGAGAGGACGACCAGCCACACUGGGACUGAGACACGGCCCAGACUCCUACGGGAGGCAGCAGUGGGGAAUUUUGGACAAUGGGCGCAAGCCUGAUCCAGCAAUGCCGCGUGCAGGAAGAAGGCCUUCGGGUUGUAAACUGCUUUUGUACGGAGCGAAAAGGCUCUCUCUAAUACAGGGGGCUCAUGACGGUACCGUAAGAAUAAGCACCGGCUAACUACGUGCCAGCCGCCGCAGAAA